rnacentral:rRNA from 1 species
UACAGAGGUCCCGAGCGUUGUUCGGAUUCAUUGGGCGUAAAGGGUGCGUAGGCGGCGAGCUAAGUUUGGUGUGAAAUCCUGGGGCUUAACCUCAGAAUUGCACUGAAUACUGGUUUGCUAGAGGACUGGAGAGGAGAUUGGAAUUCACGGUGUAGCAGUGAAAUGCGUAGAUAUCGUGAGGAAGACCAGUGGCGAAAGCGAAUCUCUGGACAGAUCCUGAUGCUGAUGCACGAAGGCUAGGGGAGCAAACGGG